rnacentral:rRNA from 1 species
UACGUAGGGGGCUAGCGCUAUCCGGAAUUACUGGGCGUAAAGGGUGCGUAGGUGGUUUCUUAAGUCAGAGGUGAAAGGCUACGGCUCAACCGUAGUAAGCCUUUGAAACUGGGAAACUUGAGUGCAGGAGAGGAGAGUGGAAUUCCUAGUGUAGCGGUGAAAUGCGUAGAUAUUAGGAGGAACACCAGUUGCGAAGGCGGCUCUCUGGACUGUAACUGACACUGAGGCACGAAAGCGUGGGGAGCAAACAGGAUUAGAUACCCUGGUAGUCCCUGA